rnacentral:lncRNA from 1 species
CUUCUGCUGCUGAUGUGUGUUUCUGGAGAUUUGCAACACUGGCCGAACCCUGCCUCACGAAAACAUGCUCUAUUGGAAGGACUUCAGAGAAAGCUUUUUCCCUUUAUGCGCAAUUACAAGGCAUAAUUACAAGAGGAAGUUACAACAAGAGACUAAUGCAUUACUCAUGUAAAAUUUGUGGUUAUUCUUGCUUAUUCACUCCAGAAAUUGGAAACUCCUCCUCUUUUUCCCGAGAAAGGACUUUCAUUUUGCUCUCUGUUAUUGAAGGCAAAGCUCACUCUGGUCUACACUUCAUAUUUGAUCGUUUUUCACCAUUCAGAAGCCUAAAGCUGAAGUUUUAUGCAUCUUCAUGCUUGGGUGCAGCAACCUUGAAGGUCAUGUUUCUUAAAGUUUACCCUUCAAACAGGAAAAGUGUGACUCUACCCAAAAAGGACUUUUUGUGGCCUAUAAAUAUAUCUUUAUUUUGUUAAGCUACUGAGAUACCAGGGUUUAUUUAUUGCUGCAGUAUAUCCUAGCCUGUAUUGAUUUAACUACUUGACUAAUAAAGUCACAGAGAUAACUCA